CCUCUUCCUGCAGUGCCAGGCGGUGAGAGCCGGCAGGCAGCGAACGAAAGGGAGACGGGGAGCCUCGAUCCUGGAGCAGGCUGCUCUCCUCCCAUCCUUCGUUCUUCUCUUCACAGCACACGCAUGGGUACCCCCGAGUAAUUAAUUCACUCGAAACUGGGGCUGUAAUUCAAGCACUUUCCCAGUUCUGCUCUAUCACCCAGAAUCUGUAACUGCGUGCUUGUACGCAGCACGGGGCUGUAGUCCUGGCACUCUGAUGCACUGGUGCACCCUACUUUAGGGCUGGCAGCGCUUAACUGUAACUAGUCCCACUUCCCCUGCUAUCCACAGCACUGAUAGAGACCUGGGUUGGUACAGUCUGGCAUUCUUUCAUGGAUACCCUUGGUGGCCAUGGGAGAAAGAGCCAGUGACACCAAGAGGCAUUGCUUUUCCACACAGCGAGCCAAGCUGCUCCCUUCUGCCAUGGUGUGCCCACAAGCCAUCCGGAGCUCCUUGAACCACAAAACCUACAUCCACCUCCCUGCUGCCCCGCUGUGCCAGAACGAGCAGUUAACACAUGUCUAGAAUACACACAGCUUUGCGUGCUGCUGCAGCUUGUCUUUUCUAGGUCGGUACCGAGUUAGUCAUCCCAGUGUCUGGAGAUGCAGCCACAUACCUCCAUAUUUUUAGAUAUUUUUUAUCUCUCUGCUAAGUAAGCCACUUUCCUCCCAGCUUCUCUAGUCGAGCAGCAGCAUUUAUAUCCUACAGGCAUUUUCUUCAGCCCGUGUUAAUUUUGAAGUUCCCCAGCUUUCACAGCCUGUUUCAUCAGUAGCCUCACGUCAGCAAUUAGCAAAGCAGGUGCAGCCCAAGUGAUAAAGACCCCAGCAGCUACACCUCCGCAUCCCCGAGAACCAGCAGUCUCCCGUUCUCAGAGCCUGCUCCAACCGAGAUACGUCACGGACUUAAGAAGUUCUAGCUGUGUGCAUUAGACACUGCAUCUAACUGCGAUCCCGAUGUCGGGAGGAAGUUCAGGACACCGCUUUUCUCACACCCCGUGCCCGCCUGCCCUCUGUCGGUGUUGGGACAGCGCGUCUCUCCGCCAGGGCUGCUGGCACUGCUGGUGCUGGGAAGCAGCUACUUGCGCCGUCCUGCCCCGUCUCGCUCUUUCAGAAACCCUGCACCACAAAGAGAUGAGGAUGAAAAAGAGUAAAUGCUACCACAAGCAAGCCAAAGCGUCCAGUAAAAUGCCUUCCUCUCCCUAAAUACUGCUUCAGAGUUGGUGAACCUCUGAAAAACCACACGUUGCUAUUUCAUCCUGAAAGGCAAAUCCAUUAUAGCUGGUUGGUGGAAAAUGACCCACACUGACGACACGUUUCUUCUCAGGAAGAUAAAGGCAGGCACACGGUGCCCACUGCCUCUUUGCAGGAGCAGCCAGCGUUACCUUCCAGAGCCAUUUACGUGCAUGCUGCUUUCUGAAUGAUGGUUGUAGAGAAAUCAUUUCAGUGCUGAACGUGCCAGUAGUGUUUACAAUUCUGCAUUUGUAAAGGGCAAAUAAAUUCACACAACUUCAUGAAUAUCA
rnacentral:lncRNA from 1 species